UUAGAGUUUGAUCCUGGCUCAAGACGAACGCUGGCGGCACGCUUAACACAUGCAAGUCGAACGAGAGAAGAGGAGCUUGCUUUUCUGAUCUAGUGGCGGACGGGUGAGUAACACGUGAGCAAUCUGCCUUUCAGAGGGGGAUACCGAUUGGAAACGAUCGUUAAUACCGCAUAAUAUAAUUGAACCGCAUGAUUUGAUUAUCAAAGAUUUAUCGCUGAAAGAUGAGCUCGCGUCUGAUUAGCUAGUUGGUAAGGUAACGGCUUACCAAGGCGACGAUCAGUAGCCGGACCGAGAGGUUGAUCGGCCACAUUGGGACUGAGACACGGCCCAGACUCCUACGGGAGGCAGCAGUGGGGAAUAUUGCACAAUGGAGGAAACUCUGAUGCAGCGAUGCCGCGUGAGGGAAGAAGGUUUUAGGAUUGUAAACCUCUGUCUUCAGGGACGAAAAAAGACGGUACCUGAGGAGGAAGCUCCGGCUAACUACGUGCCAGCAGCCGCGGUAAUACGUAGGGAGCGAGCGUUGUCCGGAAUUACUGGGUGUAAAGGGAGCGUAGGCGGGAUCGCAAGUCAGAUGUGAAAACUAUGGGCUUAACCCAUAAACUGCAUUUGAAACUGUGGUUCUUGAGUGAAGUAGAGGUAAGCGGAAUUCCUAGUGUAGCGGUGAAAUGCGUAGAUAUUAGGAGGAACAUCAGUGGCGAAGGCGGCUUACUGGGCUUUAACUGACGCUGAGGCUCGAAAGCGUGGGGAGCAAACAGGAUUAGAUACCCUGGUAGUCCACGCCGUAAACGAUGAUUACUAGGUGUGGGGGGACUGACCCCUUCCGUGCCGCAGCAAACGCAAUAAGUAAUCCACCUGGGGAGUACGACCGCAAGGUUGAGACUCAAAGGAAUUGACGGGGGCCCGCACAAGCAGUGGAGUAUGUGGAUUAAUUCGAAGCAACGCGAAGAACCUUACCAGGUCUUGACAUCGUAUGCAUAGCUCAGAGAUGAGUGAAAUCUCUUCGGAGACAUAUAGACAGGUGGUGCAUGGUUGUCGUCAGCUCGUGUCGUGAGAUGUUGGGUUAAGUCCCGCAACGAGCGCAACCCUUACUGUUAGUUGCUACGCAGGAGCACUCUAGCAGGACUGCCGUUGACAAAACGGAGGAAGGUGGGGAUGACGUCAAAUCAUCAUGCCCCUUAUGACCUGGGCCUCACACGUACUACAAUGGCUGUCAACAGAGGGAAGCAAAGCCGCGAGGUGGAGCGAACCCCUAAAAGCAGUCUUAGUUCGGAUUGUAGGCUGCAACCCGCCUACAUGAAGUCGGAAUUGCUAGUAAUCGCAGAUCAGCAUGCUACGGUGAAUACGUUCCCGGGCCUUGCACA
rnacentral:rRNA from 1 species